CCUUCGAUAGCUCAGCUGGUAGAGCGGAGGACUGUAGUUGAUACUCUGACGAAAGACAUCCUUAGGUCGCUGGUUCGAUUCCGGCUCGAAGGA
rnacentral:tRNA from 1 species